rnacentral:lncRNA from 1 species
UGGCCAGACAAGUGAUCUCGUCGCCAUUGUUCUAAGCCCACUUGUUUUGGUAGAUGGACAACAAAAUUAAAAACAUAUUAUUUUAAUUCAGCCAUAGAAAGCCAUAUUUGCAUGCAUUGCUUAGUAGGGUGGAAUCUAAUUAAUUUAUGGGCUAAAAGAGGAUAUAAUUAUAUCUAUCUUCUUCUCUGUGGACUGCACUAAUCCAUCACGUA